rnacentral:rRNA from 1 species
GAUGAACGCUGGCGGCGUGCCUAAUACAUGCAAGUCGAGCGAACGGACGAGAAGCUUGCUUUUCUGAUGUUAGCGGCGGACGGGUGAGUAACACGUGGAUAACCUACCUAUAAGACUGGGAUAACUUCGGGAAACCGGAGCUAAUACCGGAUAAUAUUUUGAGCCGCAUGGUUCAAAAGUGAAAGACGGUCUUGCUGUCACUUAUAGAUGGAUCCGCGCUGCAUUAGCUAGUUGGUAAGGUAACGGCUUACCAAGGCAACGAUGCAUAGCCGACCUGAGAGGGUGAUCGGCUACACUGGAACUGAGACACGGUCCAGACUCCUACGGGAGGCAGCAGUAGGGAAUCUUCCGCAAUGGGCGAAAGCCUGACGGAGCAACGCCGCGUGAGUGAUGAAGGUCUUCGGAUCGUAAAACUCUGUUAUUAGGGAAGAACAUAUGUGUAAGUAACUGUGCACAUCUUGACGGUACCUAAUCAGAAGGCCACGGCUAACUACGUG